rnacentral:rRNA from 1 species
GACGAACGCUGGCGGCGUGCCUAAUACAUGCAAGUCGAGCGAAUUUACGAGAGCUUGCUCUCGUAAAUUAGCGGCGGACGGGUGAGUAACACGUGGGCAACCUGCCUAUAAGACUGGGAUAACUUCGGGAAACCGGAGCUAAUACCGGAUAAUUCACAUCUACUCAUGUAGAUGUGCUGAAAGACGGUUUCGGCUUUCACUUAUAGAUGGGCCAGCGGCGCAUUAGCUAGUUGGUGAGGUAACGGCUCACCAAGGCCACGAUGCGUAGCCGACCUGAGAGGGUGAUCGGCCACACUGGGACUGAGACACGGCCCAGACUCCUACGGGAGGCAGCAGUAGGGAAUCUUCCGCAAUGGACGAAAGUCUGACGGAGCAACGCCGCGUGAGUGAUGAAGGUUUUCGGAUCGUAAAACUCUGUUGUUAGGGAAGAACAAGUACCAGAGUAACUGCUGGUACCUUGACGGUACCUAACCAGAAAGCCACGGCUAACUACGUGCCAGCAGCCGCCGUAA